rnacentral:rRNA from 1 species
UACGUAGGGUGCAAGCGUUGUUCGGAAUUACUGGGCGUAAAGGGCGCGUAGGCGGCCAGCACAAGUCAGUUGUGAAAUCUCCGAGCUUAACUCGGAAAGGUCAACUGAUACUGUGCGGCUAGAGUGCGGAAGGGGCAACUGGAAUUCUUGGUGUAGCGGUGAAAUGCGUAGAUAUCAAGAGGAACACCUGCGGCGAAGGCGGGUUGCUGGGCCGACACUGACGCUGAGGCGCGAAAGCCAGGGGAGCGAACGGG